CACGGAGUUAGCCGGUGCUUAUUCUUUGGGUACCGUCAUGAACCACGGUUAUUAACCGCGAUCUUUUCUUCCCCAACAAAAGUGCUUUACAACCCGAAGGCCUUCUUCACACACGCGGCAUGGCUGGAUCAGGCUUGCGCCCAUUGUCCAAUAUUCCCCA
rnacentral:rRNA from 1 species